rnacentral:lncRNA from 1 species
CCUCCUCUCAGGGCCUCGUCUCACCAUUAGACAUCUCGUUCCCAGUUAUAAUUUGCGAGGUUAGAUCAGGCUGCGCCAUGGCGUCCGCUACUGCUGUCAAGAUCGCCGCCAUCUUCAUGCUGGUGCUGACCAUGGGCCACCUGAUGGCCGAAGCAUCACCGCAGCCUCGGCGCCUGCUUGCAGAAACGGAGCAUGCUGGGGUGUCUGGGAAUGGGAAUCCUGGCCUCCCAGGCGAUGCUAGCGUCAUGCAGGUCCUCGAACCCGCCCUAGCUUCUGUUGUUGCCUGCAAACGAGGGUGCUUACUCCCUUUGCCUCUUCCUGUAUGUGUCUGCUAGAUCCUCUUCCUGGC